CUUUAUAUAAAAGAACCUCAUUAUUUCUGUAUGGUUUCUCAGUUGUUCACAUCUUCCUCAAAUGGACUCUGGCAUAGAGGUAUCUAACUCACAGCCUAUGGAGUGGCCCCAAGAGAUCCAUUUCUUUUUGAGUUUGAUAACACCAACAUAGAGGAAAAAAUAUAGGACAUAGAGUGUAUCUAGGGUCAAAUUGGAGCUUUGUCACUUCAACUUGUGUGAUUGAGGUUAUGUGAUUUCUGAUCAAUACGUUUGAGAUUUCUCAUCUAUAUAAAAUGAGGGGAUGGCACAAGUUGACAUCCAGUGUUACUUCCAAAUCUACAUCAGGGAAACUUCAACUCCUUACAAGACAAAUCAUGUAUUAGUUGUGUUUAAUGUAGAGGAGGAAGCGAUAGAGAGAGAUGAUACCAUGCCACAUGCACAAAACUUUUAACUUAAUUGACUUCCAUUUCUUGUUUGUUUCUUUUUUUUAACAUAAAAGUCAGGUUAGGUUAUACCUAUUCUCUUCGAUAUAUGCCAACAUAGACAUGUGCCCCAUAAAAAACCAAAGUUCCUUUAACAUAUGGCUUUAUCUUUCUUAUGGAAUUGAAAUUUAUGAAUUUUUAUAGUGUGUUUCUCUUUAGGUAACUUUUUGCAUCAUAAUAGAAUAUAUUUUAUGCUUUAAUUAUUUCCCUCUCAAAUCUUGGAUGAUUCUAGCAAUGUCCAAGGAUACAAUUGGCGGAGUUUCUUUUGUUUUAAAAAACAUGAUAAACAAGUACAGAAUGUGCGCAAGCAGGAAGAAACUGACCUAAAGCUGCUGGUGUCUGACUGGACAGAAACUCAAGUUGGCCAUUGGUUAAAGAGUAUUGGAAUGAAAAAAUAUAUCCUGAAAUUUGAUUAUAAAAGAGUAAGCAGUCAAGAACUUCUUGAAUUAGACAAUGAUGCAUUAAAAGUAAGCUUCAGAAUUGGCUUUUUAUAUAUGCUACAUACAAUUAUAUAUUAACUUAUUUUAUGGUGGGCAUUGGAUGAAAAACAGUACAAAUAAUGGGAUUCCUAUAUAUGGCCCAUUUGACAACCUUAUGGUUUUAAGGAAAACAUGUUAACUACCUUUUUGAAUGUAGUUUCAAGAAAUGUUUUUAAUGUGAUUUGCUCCCCCAUUUUUUUAGUAUUCCUUCCAUAUGGUCAUUCCUUUUUAUUUCUAUUUAUUUAUUGAAACCUUAUACCUUCCGUCUUAGAAUAUAUAACAUGUAAAUUUACAAAGAAAAAGAAUUUUAAGGGGUGGGCAAUGUGAGGCAAGUGACUGUCUCAGCAUCAUACUUCUAGGGGGUCACAUUUGAAACCAGGACCUCUUUUCUCUAGG
rnacentral:lncRNA from 1 species